UACAGAGGUCCCAAGCGUUGUUCGGAUUCACUGGGCGUAAAGGGUGCGUAGGUGGCCAGGUAAGUUUGGUGUGAAAUCUCCGGGCUUAACCCGGAAAUGGCAUUGAAUACUAUCUGGCUCGAGGUUUGUAGGGGGGACUGGAAUUCUCGGUGUAGCAGUGAAAUGCGUAGAUAUCAAGUGGAACACCAGUGGCGAAGGCGAGUCUCUGGACAUUUCCUGACGCUGAGGCACGAAAGCCAGGGGAGCAAACGGG
rnacentral:rRNA from 1 species